UACGUAGGGUGCGAGCGUUGUCCGGAAUUACUGGGCGUAAAGAGCUCGUAGGUGGUUUGUCGCGUUGUUCGUGAAAACUCACAGCUUAACUGUGGGCGUGCGGGCGAUACGGGCAGACUGGAGUACUGCAGGGGAGACUGGAAUUCCUGGUGUAGCGGUGGAAUGCGCAGAUAUCAAGUGGAACACCAGUGGCGAAGGCGAGUCUCUGGACAUUUCCUGACGCUGAGGCACGAAAGCCAGGGGAGCAAACGGG
rnacentral:rRNA from 1 species